rnacentral:lncRNA from 1 species
CGGCCCGCCCGCAGGCCAGCUUCUCUCGGGAGCCUCCACCCAGGCGCAUGGCUCCAUGAAGCAAGAGGAGGAGGCAGAGCGCGAGAGAUCCCGUCCGCCCCAGCCGCGUCUGGGCCAGGAGAAAAGCAAAACCAUAUUCCUGCUGCUGUCAGUUUUGAUGCACUGAGAAAACUUCAGAGACCUAAGCUUUUUCCAGAGAAGAGAAGCUUUACUGGUGUUCCAGCCCUAAGAAACUUAAAUCCUCAGUGUGACACAACUCAGUCCUUCUACUGCAGCAGCUCUUUUAUAAAAGCCUCCCAAAGCUCCAAGAAGGAACAAAGAAUGUGACCCAGUAAGCUCACACCAUAAGUCUAUAUUGCAGAAACCUUUGUUCAACAAAACUGCAGAUGCUCUGUUGAAUCCACUGGAGAUUGUCCUGAUACUAAGGACAAGCUCAUAUGACAUUAACAGACAAGACACUUUUCAGAAAGACAGGCAACGUGUUGGACCUUCCGGAGCUUCUCAGAAGACAGAGGGUUUUCUUUUGAGGCUGUUGUACAGUGGCCUGAUUAUAGCUCACUGUAGCCUCGAAAUUCUGGGCCGAAAUGAUCCGCCUGCCUCAGCCUCCAAAGUAGCUGAGACUACAGACAAAUCAACUCAAUCAAAGAAACCAACUCAAAGAAAGAUGGGUCUACAUACAACAAAACUGAACAAAAUCUGCAAGAAGAGUGAUUCAUACAUGGGCUAUUGAGGCAACAUGAGAUGGACAUUAAUCGACUAAGUAAAAAACAGAUUUCUUGAAGAAUUAAUAAAGAACUUUUGUUUUG